rnacentral:rRNA from 1 species
UACGGAGGGGGCUAGCGUUGUUCGGAAUUACUGGGCGUAAAGCGCACGUAGGCGGCUUUGUAAGUUAGAGGUGAAAGCCCAGGGCUUAACCCUGGAAUUGCCUUUAAGACUGCAUCGCUAGAAUUGUGGAGAGGUAAGUGGAAUUCCGAGUGUAGAGGUGAAAUUCGUAGAUAUUCGGAAGAACACCAGUGGCGAAGGCGACUUACUGGACACAUAUUGACGCUGAGGUGCGAAAAGCGUGGGGAGCAAACAGG